rnacentral:piRNA from 1 species
UUCCAUUGAGUAUUAUACGCCAUCUGCA